UAAUCGGGCUUUGAACAACCCGGCCCAGGAGCUACGCUUUUAGGUUGGCCUAAAUCUAUAUAUUAUCUGCUUUAUAUAUGUAGACACUACACCACCAAGAAGAGUCCUUGACAAAUCAAACGCAAGUUUGUUCGAGAACAAACUAUAUCCAGCUUCAGUUAUACACUUUGGAUCUCCUGAACAACAAGAACACUUCCUCGCUAGAAGAUUAAUAGACAAGUUGUCAACAGUUCUAGAUGCUGAGAAAGCUGUUAUUGAUACAGGGGUGUUAUCUGUUCGUUCUAGCUCAAGACCAGAUAUCGGAGACUCUCUUGUAAGUUCGUCCACAGUGGAUGAUAACGAACAGACAGGAACCUCUCUAGGUGGGGCUGGUGUCCCGGAUAGGCCACGCGAGGGACUAAAUCCGGCCUCCACUAACAGACCUCGCACAGGAGGCGCCAGUAAAGGCGCUGUGCCCAAGUGGUUUAAAGGAACAGG